UGACAGCGGAGAGCCCGAUGGAGGGCUUGAACUCAUGAACCGUGAGAUCGUGACGUGAGCUGAAGUCGGAUGCUUCACCGACUGAGCUACCCAGGUACCACCCUCCCGUCCGUUUAUACAUGCUUCAUAGAGCAGCCAAUUCAGCAAUAAAUCCUAAGAUAUAAAAUUUUUUUUUACGUCUUUAUAAAUACAGAGAUAAAUAAAGAGGUUACAGAUAGAGAAGAUUCUAAAAGUUGCAUGGAUGUGCAGCACCCUAGAAUAGACCAAAUAAAUUU